GAUUUAUGUUUUUAACUUGAUGUCUGGAUCCAUUCAUUCUUUCAGAUGCAUUUAUUUUAGAAACACAUAAGAACUUGUUACGUGGGUCUGCGUGGAAGAUGCAGUACAUUUUUGUGGAGCUCUCAUGUUACUGCCACACCGAGCAGCUAAUGAUUAGCUUUACUCUUGGAGAGCAUAAAACAACCUCUGUGACGCCACCAGAUGUCAAAAUCCAGGGCUUUGUGAAAAGCCAGAACAGUGUUCUCAGCACCAGGCAGCGAGAGGAGAUGACUGAUGUUGCGGGAGAAUGCCAAACUUUGUAAGGAGAAGGCUGUCUGCGGAUGGGGUUGUGAGAGGGGCACAGUCUCAGGGCUACUGUCUGAUGGAUGACUCAUAUACGGAUGGAGACCCCGAAGAAGACAGGCAGAUAUGUCUACACCUUCAAGGCAGGAGAGGAACACCCUCAUCAAAGAUAUCACACGCUGAGGGGACCGCAUUGAUAUUCCGGUGGCCACGUAUCUGCAUCUUUUUCUAUUAUUCAGAAUAUCUGAGGCUGC